rfam:Bacteroides oleiciplenus YIT 12058 genomic scaffold supercont1.7, whole genome shotgun sequence.
GGUCCUGUAGUUCAACGGAUAGAAUAGAAGUUUCCUAAACUUUAGAUAGGGGUUCGAUUCCCCUCGGGACUA